AAUUUUUGACAAUUGGCGCAAGCCUGAUCCAGCCAUCCCGCGUGAGUGAAGAAGGCCUUCCGGUUGUAAAGCUCUUUCUGUCGGAAAGAAAUCACGCAGGCUAAUACCCUGCGUGGACGACGGCACCGUCCUAACAAGCACCCGCUAACUACCUUCCAGCACCCGCGGUAAUACGUAGGGUGCGAGAGUUCAUCGGCAUUACUGGGGGUAAAACGGGCGCAGGGGGUUGAUUAAAACAGGCGUGAAAACCCCGGGGUUAAACUGGGAAAUGGGCUUGUGAAUGGUCAGCUAGAGUACGGCAGAGGGGGGUGGAAAUCCACGUGGAGCAGGGAAAUGCGUAGAGAUGUGGAGAAAAACCGAUGGGGAAGGCAGCCCCCUGGGCCGAUACUGACGCUCAUGCACGAAAGCGUGGGUAGCAAACAGG
rnacentral:rRNA from 1 species